AUUGAACGCUGGCGGAAUGCUUUACACAUGCAAGUCGAACGGUAGAGGGGGCAACCCCUCGAGAGUGGCGAACGGGGGAGUAAUAUAUCGGAACGUGCCCAGUCGUGGGGGAUAACGUAGCGAAAGGUACGCUAAUACGGCAUACGAUCUAAGGAUGAAAGCGGGGGAUCGCAAGACCUCGCGCGAUUGGAGCGGCCGAGAUCAGAGUAGGUAGUUGGUGGGGUAAAGGCUCACCAAGCCAACGAUCUGUAGCUGGUCUGAGAGGACGACCAGCCACACUGGAACUGAGACACGGUCCAGACUCCUACGGGAGGCAGCAGUGGGGAAUUUUGGACAAUGGACGCAAGUCUGAUCCAGCCAUUCCGCGUGCAGGAUGAAGGCCCUCGGGUUGUAAACUGCUUUUGUACGGAACGAAAAGGUCUCUCUUAAUACGGGGGACUCAUGACGGUACCGUAAGAAUAAGCACCGGCUAACUACGUGCCAGCAGCCGCAGUAACAC
rnacentral:rRNA from 1 species